AUUUGCAGCCAUUAACUCAUAGGUGGUAGUAACACUGAAAUUACUUUCUCUGCGUCAAAAUAAGGGCGCAGGAGCCGUUGCUGUCUGUCCGAUGGAGGAACUUCAGCUGGGGCCUCCUCCUCGUAGCUCCUUCUUCCUCCAGCGUGGGUAGCCUGUCCCUCCCGCUCCACGGACGAACCCUCUGGCCCUGGUGAUUUUCUUCUCUUCCAGUCUGGACAGCCGGUUGUUAAAACAAGGAAAGAUUAUUGAUAUAACACAUUUUAUGCUCUAAUUAAAGUGCUCUAAUAAAGUCUCUUAAGCCAGGGCUUUACCUUCGGCAUGUCAGGCACCCUUCGUGUCAAUCGAGGCUUUUCCGUCUCUUCCUUCUUUAUCACACCUUCCUUCGUUGAUAUUUUCACUUUAAUUAUGAUUUUAAUUUUAAUCUUAACUAUUUUGCUGUCGUUGUUCUCCAUUGUGAAGACUCUCUUCAAAAUACAAGCUUUCCCUCAGAUGAUCGGAAGAAGUGUGAGAAGAUAAGUACAUGUGAUUCAAAAGUAAUUAAGCUGUUGUCACGGACGCCCAUUCGUACCAUAACAGACAAUGCGGUGCUAUGCAGCUCGUCGGUGACUUUCGGCCGCGUUCGGCUCCGACUGACCGGUCGUAGGUCCGAUUCGGCUGUAAGCAGGUUGCCAACUCUGACGCAUCUGGCGCGAGACUCGGGCUUUCAGACUCAAACGCACACAGCAAUAAAUCUUAUGGAGAAUCUCUAUUAAUCCAUUUAAAACCUAAAACUGGCUACAUCAAAAGUGUUUGGGCAGUUUGCAAAUCCUAAAGAUGAUUUACAAGUUGGGGCAGAGACUGUCAUACGCUCUGGGUAUCACUCACAGCCAGAUGCCGCGCUACAGUGAAAGAUUUACAAAUGUGACAAAAGGUCUUCUGUUUGUCCAUUAAUUCCUACAUAGAGUUUUAAUCCCGUUUACAUGAAAAGAUGUACUUAUUGUGUCCCUGACUAUUCCAAAUUUCUUUUUGCAGCAAACUGACAAACCGAAUAAGCCCAGGACACUGGAAAAU